GGGGGCCCUGCGCUGGCUUUGCCAGGCAGGCUGCCUGGCUGUUUCCUGGAGGCUCCCUGAGCCAGGUGGAGGCUGGAGAGACUGAGAGCUCUGGAGAUUCCGACAUUGUGGCUGUGAUUGAAAAUGGACUUCCUGAAAAAGAAGCUCGCCCGCCAGUGAUGAGUCGGCCUUAGGGAGACCUGUGUGAUGGGGGGUCGGUUCCCCAGGACACUCAGUGCUUCCACAGGAGCUUAAAACUGCAGAUUUUGUCUUGUAAGCGGGUAAUGAAAUCAAUUUAGUUGCACAGAUCUAUUUAGUUCCAUUAAAAACAUGAUGGAGAUACAACAGAAAAUAUGGAAGCCAAUCUGAAGUAGUAAGGCCAGGAGAGCCAAUGGGACCAAGAGCCUGCUCUGCUUGGAGGACCUGGUUCCUCACCUACUCAGCCUUCUGCCUCCUAUUGUGGCCAUUCUCUAAUGGAAUGCCUGUGCCUACCUCGCCCUCCUGGAGCCAAGAACCCAGAGGUGAGAAUGGGUAUGAGGAUCUUCUGAGGGGAGGCAAAUAAGUGAGGUGGGUUGG